GAAAUGAUAAAAUAAAACUGUCACAAUAGUAGGUGACUUUUUUCAAAAAGACCUUUGGCUCUGCAUAGCUUUUUAAGCAGUGUAUAAGUUAAGACUGUUUGACAUUGAAUAGUUGAAGUUAAGAUUAUUUUAAUGCUAAAUUUAACACGAUUAAAAUGUCUGAAAACAAGAUUAUGACCAUACUUUAAAUUAUAGUAAAGAAGCUGUAGAAGACCAUAUACACCAUUCAUAAGUCCAAGCUGAACUUCUAUAUUUUUCAGAGUUACUUUCUGUGCUGAAUGAUCCGUGUGGAUUUAGCACUUUUUUACAUUAAUGUAAUAAUAACCAAAGUUUAUUUAUAAAGCCUCCUCUGCAGGUGGAGCUGGAGUCAGUCUGUCAGUGGAGUGGCAAGAGGACCACGAGUGACUGGCAGCACCUCAGCUCUGCCAGCAAGAUGAACCGGGAGGCUAACAGUCAGUGGCCUGAUGAGAGAAGAACCAGAGGAGAAUGGCAGGGCCUCAACCCUACCAGCAAAGUUCAUCAGUGCCCCAACUGUGCGUACACCACAACUGAUUCCAAUAAACUCAAGAGACACUCUCUGAAGCACACUGGAGAGAGGCCACAUUCAUGCCCAUAUUGUUCUUAUGGCACUACAAGAAAAGAGCUUUUAAAAGAGCAUAUAAAUAUUCACACAGGAGAAAAACCAUUUUCCUGCCCAUUUUGCUCGUAUACUGCUUCUCAUAGGAAUUAUCUGAAAGACCACAUACGCAGACACACUGGUGAAAAGCCUUAUCUAUGUCCCUUUUGUCCAUACCGUGCUUCUCAGAAAUCUAAUUUAAAUGCUCAUCUAGUGGUGCAUAAAUCAGAAGGUCAGCCAUUAUAACUAUAAAAUCAUUGAUAAAAACUUUAUUACUGAAGAAAAAUUGUAAUACCUUCUUACAGCUCUUAUUUUUUAAAUUCCUGAAGAUUAUUCUACUCAGAGAUUAUACUGAGACUGUACCCCAUAGUCAGUCUUGUUUUAUUGUUAGGACAUUAUCUCAAGUGUCCAGUUCAAGUUCUUCCAUGAGAAACAACCUCGGUCCCUCCCACUAGCUCCUGAUUUGUUUACUUUCUGGUAGAUUUGGGAUAAAUGUCCUCUAGUAUUAGAUUGCAAACCAUGGUUUAGAAGAAACAUUAAAAAUUGUAGCACCUUUGCUUAUACUAAAAUUAGCCAUGUUAAUAUGAUUUACAUGUACAGUUGAACCCCAUAAUCUGUGUGAUUUAAUUGCUGCAUUUUCCAGCAUACAAGGCACACCCCAGUUUUGGCAGGCAUAUUCUGGGAAAAAAAUAAAAUAUGUGAGCCAGUGGCUAGCUGCUUAUGUGCACAGUGUAGCUAAAAAAAGAGAUGGGGUAUUGUGCAGGCUGUCCUCUGCUACACUGCCACCAAAACAAACAUAGCUGUCUAUUGUUUACAGAUGGCUACACCCUUUGAUAUUCGUAAUUAUAAUUACCUAAUGACCCUGAUACUUUACAGAUAUUUAGAACUACUGAAGUUGGUUUGCUUAUUACAUACCAAUAAAAUGCAAAUUAUAAUUUAUAAUAGUUAAUAAUCAUUCUAAAGUAAUCUGGGAAACAAUUUCUAGGGAAGAAGGUUGUUUGGAGGUUUCAAUACUGAAACCAACAUUUGCCAGUAACCCAAAGCCUACCAUUGUUUCUGAUCUUGAACAUAUAAGAUGCUGUAUGAUUUUCUGAGAAACUUUUGGGGGAGAAAACAGUAUGUUUUAUAUUCUGGAAAAUAUGGUAUAUGUUUUUCCUGAAGGUCAUUUCACAGACAACUUUGAUGAUUCACGUUUAUUCUUGGUACCCAUUGUUUGUUUGCUAGUUGCAUAACCCCUAAAUUGAAAACUAACAAUAGAAUUUCAUUUAAAACAUGCUUAUUCUUUCUUAUAAAUGUCAAAAUUAAGCAAAUUAGAGGAACACUUAAAGAGAUGAGCAAAAAACAUUUAACUUGAAUAAGCAAGAUUUCCUGUAAGACAUGAUUUCAGGAUUUACAUCACCUCCAGGAACCUAACUCCCAUGAAUUACAGGGUUCAACUGUCUUAGAUUGAGAUUGAGUUCAGAAGUCACUGACUGACUAAUGGGGCAUAGUGUGCAGUAUUUCAAGAUAAUUUUAGUCAGGUCAUUUGUGAUGCUUAAUUUAUUACUGUAAUGAUAUUUUGAAUAACCAAAAUAAGCCUUUAUUAACCCAUGCUGUUCUCUGAUUUGCAAGAUUUAGGAAUAUUUUUAAGACAUAAUGGCUAAAUAUUUACUUUACAAAGAUAAUGUAACCUGACUUCAAAGAAACAGAUAGUCUCUUUAGAAACCCCUUUUAUAUUUGCAAUUCUAUAUACUUUAUCUCUAAUUAAAUGCACUGUAACAUUAAACUUCAAUAAACAAACCAUCUUCUAAUAGCAUGA